UACGAAGGUCCCAAGCGUUAUCCGGAUUUAUUGGGUUUAAAGGGUGCGUAGGCGGACUAUUAAGUCAGUGGUGAAAGCCCCAGCUUAACUUGGGAACUGCCAUUGAUACUGAUGGUCUUGAGUACAUUUGAGGUGGGCGGAAUGUGUCAUGUAGCGGUGAAAUGCUUAGAUAUGACACAGAACACCGAUUGCGAAGGCAGCUCACUAACUGUAAACUGACGCUGAGGCACGAAAGCGUGGGGAGCAAACAGG
rnacentral:rRNA from 1 species